GACGAACGCUGGCGGCGUGCUUAACACAUGCAAGUCGAACGGAAAGGCCCUGCUUUUGUGGGGUGCUCGAGUGGCGAACGGGUGUGUAACACGUGAGUAACCUGCCCUUGACUUUGGGAUAACUUCAGGAAACUGGGGCUAAUACCGGAUAGGAGCUCCUGCUGCAUGGUGGGGGUUGGAAAGUUUCGGCGGUUGGGGAUGGACUCGCGGCUUAUCAGCUUGUUGGUGGGGUAGUGGCUUACCAAGGCUUUGACGGGUAGCCGGCCUGAGAGGGUGACCGGCCACAUUAGGCCUGAGAGACGGCCCAGACUCCUACAGGAGGCAGCGGUGGGGAGUAUUGCACAAUGGGAGGAAGCCUGAUGCAGCAACGCCGGGUGCGGGAUGACGUCCUUCGGGUUGUAAACCGCUUUCGCCUGUGACGAAGCGUGAGUGACGGUAAUGGGUAAAGAAGCACCGGCUAACUACGUG
rnacentral:rRNA from 1 species